rnacentral:rRNA from 1 species
UACGAAGGGUGCAAGCGUUAAUCGGAAUUACUGGGCGUAAAGCGUGCGUAGGCGGUUCGUUAAGUCUGAUGUGAAAGCCCUGGGCUCAACCUGGGAAUGGCAUUGGAUACUGGCGGGCUAGAGUGCGGUAGAGGGGUGCGGAAUUCCCGGUGUAGCGGUGAAAUUCGUAGAGAGCGGGAGGAAAAUCUGAGGCGAAGGGGGCACCCUGGACCAGCACUGACGCUGAGGCACGAAAGCGUGGGGAGCAAACAGG